CAGCAGCCGCGGGAAUACGAAGGAGGCUAGCGUUGUUCGGAUUAACUGGGCGUAAAGGGCGCGUAGGCGGGUUUUUAAGUCAGAGGUGAAAUCCCAAGGCUCAACCUUGGAACUGCCUUUGAUACUGGAAGUCUUGAGUCCGGGAGAGGUGAGUGGAACUGCGAGUGUAGAGGUGAAAUUCGUAGAUAUUCGGAAGAACACCGGUGGCGAAGGCGGCUCACUGGACCGACACUGACGCUGAGGCGCGAAAGCGUGGGGAGCAAACAGGAUUAGAUACCCCUGUAGUCCCUGUCUCUUAUAC
rnacentral:rRNA from 1 species